CAAUGGCACUGUGGGUGCACUGAGGGUGUUUUAUUGUACACAGAGGGAAGCUUUCUCUAAAGUGCAGGUAUAACACCUCUUCAAACCCCUAGUGCUAGCCUCCCUGAAGGGAAGCCUCUUAAGUGCCUUUCAGAGGCCACUGAUUUGUUCAACAGAAAAUCAUCAAGCACAUCAUACUGUAUAUCAGUGCUGCAAAUACAGUAGUGUAACGGGAGAGGCAAAACUUUCUGUCUUCAAAAAGCUGAUAUGCUAUUGGUACAAAUAUACAAGAAGUAAUAACUGAAUAGAAUGUUAACUAUGUGUUAUAGCUUUAAGUACUAUAGAGAAACAAUGAAACGAAUUGAGGUUUGGGCAGUACGGCAGAGAGGAAGAGGUGUGCAAUUUCAAAUGAGGUGGUCAGAGAAGACUACUCUAGGAAAGCACUAUGGAGCAAAGUUUUGUAUUAAGUUAAGGAGUCGAACCAAUCUCUAAUCUCUCAAUGCUUCUAAGACAUUCCUUCUUCCCUGGCAAUGAAAGGGAAUCUCAGUUUUUCCUGUCUAUCUUUUUUGAUGGCCAUACCCAUCUGCAGCCCACUACCGUUGCAUCCUGUUCCAAGGGAUUUUAUGUCACAAAUUCAGGGGACUGUUGAGGCACUUUGGUUUUAGAGGUGAAAAGGAAAGAACAACAUACAGACCAAGACUCUGUCAAGCUGUGUAGUAUAAUCCCAAGGCAGUGGAAUAUGAGGUGAAGAGAAUAAGAAAACAAUGGCUGUUGCCAUGAUGUUUUAGGUGGAGGGGGUUUUCUCUCCCUGGGAGGUUUCCAAAAAAUGCCAGUAAGAAAUUGAAGAUAUUUUAAUGUAUUCUUUUGCCAGCACUGAAUAUCCUUGACCACGAGGAAAACGGAUCAGAGACUGAAACAUGAGUUUCUUGUCUUAAAAAGUUGCAGCUGCCUGUUAAACUGAUUGUGACUGUGCACAGGAUCUUGUGUGUUUUCACCACUUACUUUGUGGUUCCAGAGUAGAGCACUGAAUAUCCUUGACCACGAGGAAAACGGAUCAGAGACUGAAACAUGAGUUUCUUGUCUUAAAAAGUUGCAGCUGCCUGUUAAACUGAUUGUGACUGUGCACAGGUAUGUCUGAAAGAAUGAAUCUAAAUUCUUAUCCUCUAUCAGCCUAAAGCCAGCACAUGGCUAUGAUGACUGAUGUAUGUGCUUCUGCCUGUUUACUGGAUGGAAUGGAGAAUGGCCCAGCACAAGACAACAUGGUGGCAAGAGAAGAGAGAAGGAUGAAUUGGACAGGCAGAUUACAGUCAAGCUCUCUGAUAACAAAACUUGUCAGUGUCCACAGGAGAUUGGGGCUUCCUCUACUAUAACCUAUUUCCUCUCCCUUGAGAAAUGGAGGGGAAGGUGGUGUUUCUUCCUUUUUGGUAAGCUUCACAGAGAAAAUAGAGGCAAAAUGUGGCCAGUGGGACUUAAGGCAUUCAGUUAAGAUAAGGAAUUUGGGGUUUAAUAAUGCUGAGAAGAGUUGACAUCUUAGAAAUACUAGUACUUUUUGGAAAAAUGCUGGGCUUCCUGCAGCUAUAAAUAUAGGCUUCGUAUUCUUCAUAUUAAAGAAGGAAGAUUUCAAGAUGUUCAGGCAUUGAGAUGAUUUCCUUUAGUAUUCAUUGUUGUUUCAAUAAAAACUUGUAAACUAGGGAUGAUGUUUCUCAAACUUUCCCACUUCCAUAUUUAAAAAUACUUUCAGCCUGUAGCUGCUAAGUUCUAAAACAAACUCCAAUUUAAGGCUGUGAAUCUUUUUACUUGAAUUUCCUUCUAACCCCUUAUUGCCAAUUACAUAUAUACGUGUAAUUAACAUGGAAAUACAUAUGCAUAUACAUAAUAUAGAUGCAAUUACAUAUACAUGUAAUUAACAUGCAUA